rnacentral:rRNA from 1 species
UACGUAGGGUCCGAGCGUUGUCCGGAAUUAUUGGGCGUAAAGGGCGCGUAGGCGGCUCGCCAAGUCGGGGGUGAAAUCUUUCGGCUCAACCGGAAAACAGCUUCCGAUACUGGCGGGCUCGAGUGGGGUAGGGGCGACUGGAACUUCCGGUGGAGCGGUGAAAUGCGUAGAUAUCGGAAGGAACGCCGGUGGCGAAAGCGAGUCGCUGGACCCCUCCUGACGCUGAGGCGCGAAAGCCAGGGGAGCGAACGGG